AUUCAUCAACCAAACUUCUCUCAAAACCCUAAUCUCACCUCUUCUUCUGAGUCUAUGGUCGCCAAGCUCACCCUCUCCAUACCAUCAUCUUCUUCGUCUCCAUGUGCUUCAACUUCUUCUUCUUUAUCAUCUAUACUUCAUUUCUCCAAACCCACCAAAACCUAACCCAAACGCCCACCAAUCUCCUCCUCCAUCUCACUCUUAGCUUCAACCACCAUCUCCCUCCUCACCCUCUGCACAUCCACCCAGUUCGAUGCUCGAGCCCUUUCCACCUCCAAAGACCAGAUUGGAGUUUGAGGUUACUAAGUUUCUCUUCCUUCACUCGGUGCAUGCCUUUUUCGAAUUAAGCAUUUUCGCUGGGAAGAAGAAAAUGAUGCGAUUUAGUUUUUCUUAGUUAUACAUGACUUAUUAGUGUUCUAUAUGUAUUCAGAUCUGGUGUUGUAUAUGAAUUCGUAUAUGGUUUUGUAUAUGUAUUUAGAUAUGGUUUUGUA
rnacentral:lncRNA from 1 species